GGACUGUAGCUCAGCGGUAGAGCACCUGCCUCGCUCGUAUGAGGUGCUGGGUUCAAUACUCAGCACCA
rnacentral:tRNA from 1 species